CGAGAUGUGGCUCAAUGGGUAGAGUACUUGCCUAACAAGCAUGAAGCCCUGGGUUCAAUCCCCUGUGUCACCC
rnacentral:tRNA from 1 species